ACGACCGCCUCCUCCCCAGCAAGCCGCUCUCCCCUGGCGCCACCAUCGUCUCGGACGGCGGCGACUUCGCCUUGGGCUUCUUCAGCCCCUCCAACUCCAGCACUACUCCAGCGAAGCUGUACCUCGGCAUAUGGUACAACGGCAUUCCCGAGCUCACCGUGGUGUGGGUCGCGAACCGAGAAACCCCGGCCACCAACACCACCAAUUCCUCCUCCGCGCCCACGCUCUCCCUCACCAACACCUCGAGCCUCGUUCUCUCCGACGGCGGCCGUGUCCUUUGGACGACGACGCCUGAGACCGACGUGGCCGCUGCUCCAGCGACGGCGGUGCUUCUGAACAGCGGCAACCUGGUCCUACGCUCGGCGAACGGCACCACGCUGUGGCAGAGCUUCGACCACCCGACGGACACGCUCCUGCCGGACAUGAAGAUGGCGAUCAAGCAGGGCGCGCGCGCCGCCGGGCAGCGCCUGGUGUCCUGGAAGGCGCCGGGCGACCCCUCGCCCGGCCGCUUCUCCUACGGCGGCGACCCGGCCACGUCCCUCCAGAUAUUCCUGUGGGAGGGCACGCGCCCCGUGUACCGCAGCGCGCCAUGGACCGGGUACCGGGUGAAGAGCGAGUACCAGUUCCAAACGAGCAACACCAGCGCCGUCACCAUCUACCUGGCCGUCGUCGACAACAACGGCGGCGGGGAGAGCUACACGACCUUCAGCGUAUCGGACGGCGCGUGGAAAACAAGGUACGUCCUGGCCUACUCGGGCGAGCUCCAGAUCCGGAGCUGGAACGCCAGCUCGUCGGCGUGGGCCGUGCCGGGCCAGUGGCCCACCUGGGCGUGCGACCGCUACGGCUACUGCGGCCCGAACGGGUACUGCGACGAGACGGCGGCGCCCACCACCCCGGCGUGCAAGUGCCUGGACGGCUUCGAGCCGGCGAGAGGGGAGGAAUGGGACAAUGGGAAUUUCUCGGCGGGGUGCCGCCGCAAGGAGGCGCUGCGGGGUUGCGGUGAUGGCUUCGUGGCGUUGCCGGGGAUGAAGCCGCCGGACGGGUUCGCGCUCGUGGAGGAGGAUAAGUCGCUGGCGGAGUGCGCGGCGGAGUGCAGCAGCAACUGCUCCUGCGUGGCGUACGCGUACGCUAACCUGAGCAGCGGCACGUCCAAGGGGGGUAUAGCAAGGUGCUUGGUGUGGGCCGGGGAGUUGGUUGACACCGGGAAGCUAGGCUCAAGCCCCGCCAGCGACACGCUCUACCUCCGGCUCGCAGGCUUGGACGCAGCACACGGUACCAAUCCAAUCUCUUCCCUCCUCAUUCUCUAUGUUAGUCUUUUUUCUUCUGAUGGUGACUAUUUCUAGUUCUUUUCCUGGGCAAUUAGGAGGGGAGAAAUUUUCUACCUAAAAAUAUUACUCACUCCGUUUCAUAAAGGUUUCAAGAACACGAGUUUAAAAAUAGGGGUAAAGGGCAUAGAUAGUCACUUCAUAAUUAAUCCACAAUCCAGCGGCCAGUCUAAAAGCCCAUAGAUAUCACAAAAGUUCCUCCAAAGAGAGUUUAACCAUUACGGACAAAAAUUGUUGGUUCUUUAUACUCCCUCCGUCCCAUAUUAAGUGACGAAAUAUUACAUGUAUCUAGACGCUUUUUAAAUAUAAAUACAUCCAUAUUGGGCAAAGUUGAGUCACUUAAUAUGAGACGGAGGGAGUAGUAAAAAAACAUAUAUAACUAGGCAGUUACACAUUUGUGAAAUAUGGGCAACUUCCCUUUUAGACAUGUGCAAGUGCGCAAGCGAGCAUGUUCAUGUACAUUUCUACACCCAGAGAUGCACAUAUAAUUGUGUGUCUAGAUAUUAUAUUGUGUCACUUGGUUUAGAGAUAUAAACUCCUCCCUACGAUACAUAAAAUGUGUCGUCCACUUAGUACGAAAUUUGUACUAACAUUCAGUACAAAAUGGGCGAUACUUUUUAUGGAUGGGAGGGAGUAGAUUUUCAAUGGCCUGAAAAUUAGCAAACCUGUUAUUUUAUAAGAAAUGCCCACGGUGCAACUCAAACACAUGCUUUAAACUUGUAAACUGGACCGUUCAUAACACUUCGCUUUUAUGCUAUGGUGCAUGGACAGGUACAAGAUCAAAGAACAAUGAAGUGAAGUUUGGAUUGCCAAUUUUAGGAAUUAGUGUUCUGAUACUGGGGUGCAUUUUUCUUGCAUGGCUGAAUUUCAGAGGUACGUUAAAUUUAUAUUCCUCUAGGAACUGCCUAUUCGACCUUUUUGAAAUAUUUGAGUUUGUAUAUUGUACCCUCGUGCCGCAGAAUAUUCUAAACCCCGUGAAUUUGCAAAUUCGCACCAGAGCCUAUUUAAGCAAUGUAGUCAUUGCAAUUAAUAGAUAAGACAAUAAUUCCACAUGUUAGUGAUGUCUGCUUCUUCUUCACACCCCCUCAUCCGGCUCCCCCCUCAUCUUCUACUGGGUAGAUUUCUGUUAACAAUCUAAGACAUGGCUCUCUCGUUGCUUGACCAUGGUAUCCUUGGUGGGGGUCUAGUAUAGUAAACUAGUAACACUAAUAUGCCAUGGUGGUUUUUGGUUAUGUGAAUUUACAACGGGUAUACAGUGGACAAACACUAGCAGUUAAAUCUGUGAAAUAAAAUCUUAAUUUUUUUAUCUUAUUUGUUAUGUGUAUGAUAUACUCAUGGAUGUCGGUUACUGAAGCAGGCAAGAAGAGAAACCAGGGAAAGCACAAGAAGGUAACAGUGGAUGGUUCAAGUGAACUUGAAUUUCCACUUGUAAGAUUUGAGGAAGUUGCCCUAGCAACACAAAAUUUCUCUGAAAAAUGUAUGAUUGGGCAGGGAGGCUUUGGUAAAGUUUAUAAGGUAAUUUGUUCUAUAGUAGUAUCCUCUUAUUCAUUCUAAAUCUGUUUAAGUAACUUAAUUGACUUGUUCAUAUGAAAACCAAAAUGCAUGUUUUUCCUUAACAUUUUGAAGGGAACACUAGGUGGUCAACAGAUUGCCGUCAAGAGGCUAAGUAGGGACUCUCAACAAGGGACAAAUGAGUUUACGAAUGAAGUAAUUCUCAUUGCCAAAUUGCAACACAAAAAUUUGGUUCGACUCCUUGGAUGCUGUGGCGAGGCAGAUGAAAAAUUGUUGAUUUAUGAGUACUUGCCUAAUAAAAGCUUAGAUGCCACCCUUUUCGGUAUAUUCCAUCAACACCACCAGAAUUUCCUAAAAUAACUCAACAUGUUCUCUUACAUAUUUUCUUUUGAUAGAUGAUUCAAGAAAACACUUGCUGGUUGGGUGACUCGGUUAAUAUAAUCAAGGGAGUGGCAAGGGGGUUGCUUUAUCUCCGCCAAGAUUCAAGGUUGACCAUUAUUCACAGAGAUCUCAAAGCUGGAAAUGUUUUGCUAGAUGCAGAGAUGAAACCCAAGAUAACCGAUUUUGGCAUGGCAAGGAUCUUUGGUGAUAACCAGGAAAAUGCAAAUACGCAAUGUGUUGUCGGAACAUAGUGAGUAAUUAUUUGAACCAUUAACUUGUAUUAACUCAUGGUUAAAUUCAAACCCCAUUCCCCUAACUGUUGCAAGUGAAAUAAUCAAGCAGUGGCUACAUGGCUCCCGAGUAUGCAAUGGAAGGUGUCUUCUCUACCAAGUCAGACGUCUAUAGCUUUGGUGUGUUACUAUUAGAGGUUGUAACCGGCAAAAAGAGAAGCUCAGGCAGUCACACCAUGGGCUUUCCUAGCCUCAUAAUCUAUGUGAGUAAAUACUCCCUCCGUCCCAUAUUAAGUGACUUUUUAUUACAUGUAUCUAGACGCUUUUUAGGUAUAGAUACAUCCAUAUUUGAACAAAUUUGAGUCACUUAAUAUGGGACGGAGGGAGUACAUGUUUUAUUUUAAGUGCCAAAUUAAAGAAAGAAAGUAAGCCAUGUUUCUGAAAGAAAAGGGUUAUUUUCUACAACUCAUAGAGGGCGUUUCAUAUUGUUUCAGUCGUGGAAUAUGUGGAAGGAAGGGAAGGCAAAGGAGUUGGUUGACUCAUCUAUCAUGGACACCAGUUUAAUGGAUGAAGUCUUUCUUUGCAUCCAUGUGUGUCCAGGAAAACCCAGAUGAUAGGCCGCAUAUGUCAUCUGUUGUGUUCGUCCUGGAGAACGGAAGCACCACGCUUCCAACCCCCGAUCUUCCCGCCUACUAUGCACAACAACGCAUUGACUUGGAGCAAAUUAGAAACGAUAUUCUGAACUCCGUGAAUACUUUAACUCUUACCAAUAUUGAAGGGCGAUGAAAUAAUUUGUCUAAAGAUGGGCUAGCCCACGUGUAUGAGCUUGUAGUCUAGUGGUGGAGUGAAAUACUGAAAUAUUUCCUUCCUAUCCAGAGUACAAAAGAGUUGUUGUACUGAAUCUUCGACACUUGUUAUGGAUCGUAUGACAUCAGUUCAGAAAUGGUUGUUCAGUCAUCACUUAAGUUUCAGCAGUGACCUGCAUGCAACACAGCAAACUACGUUUAUCAUGUGCCUCUGGAUUUAUUUAUUUAUUUAUUUUUUUUUAUUUUUUUGCAGGGAUGUGCCUCUAGAUGUUCAUGCUUAAUAACAUGGGUAUUAAACUAGCUGAGAGCUCAGAACUAGAACAAUUGAGGGGCUUGAGGAAACAUCGAAGGAGCACGCUAUAAUCAAAGCACAUAAAUUUCUGCACUUUACUUUUUGCCUCUUACACAAUGCCAAGCAAAGAGCACACGCAGGGAGACUGGAGUGGAGAGGCACGAAGGCAGAGUUAAGAUACCUAACUUGGCAUCUGCUUAGUCUAAAUAAGCAUCAGUGCUUAACAAAAACCGGUUAAUUUUUUUAAGCACCCACCUAGGCAUCUUGCAUUGUACAUGCUCUUAGGGGGUUGGACCACCCUGAGAUUUUCUAAUCAUUUAUAUAACACGGUUAAAAAAAUUCAAAACAUCAAAAUAACUAAAUUAUAUGAAUAUUUUCACUGUUAGACCACCGCGGGGCGCGGGCGAGGGAAACAGAAUGAAGGGAAUGUCGAAGAUGGGCGACGUACAUACAGGUCCGAAGAAGAAGAGCAACAUACAUCAAAUAAAUACACGAGCAGAGUAAUCUAUAAACUCAGAGCAAAUGAAUUUUUGUCAAAGAAUUUAAAAACUCACACAAAAAAUUCUAAAUUUGGAUUAGUGAUACAAAUUAGUUCAAAUAUGGUUCAAAGAGGCUCACUUGGGACCGCAGCUUCUAGCUAGGUUUUCUCAUCUUGCAAAAUCACCACCGUGGAUAAAUCUCCUCCUGAUCGAAUCUCCCGAAUUGGUGACGGUGUUGUUUAAUCAAACUAGAGCACGGCGUCGAGACCGCACAUUAAUAUCUAAAUUUCUCAUCGGUCAUCGGUUGACGCACUCAACCAUGUCGGCCGCCGUCAAGACUGCGGGCGAGCAGUGAUCUGAUCGGUGUACCGUUAUCUUCGCGCCGAAGCAACCACCAAAGUUGAGGCCAUGGACGUGAGGCGUUUACUCGAUGUCCAUGUUGAUGUAGAGUUGCUUGACAUUUCCGUCCUAGUUCUAGUUCUAGAGUUAACUGAGGAUGCUUCUCUUGACGUUAGGCAGCGGGCCCUCAUGAACGACGAGGUGGAUAUAGGCCUCGAGGUCGUGGCAGCAUGAGGCAUCGGCAUCCAACCUAAGGUAUGUCGAUGCCAUGUUGUCAGCCUGAGCUCGCGGCCCAUGUUUGCGUAUCACAGCCUGUCGACAUCGGGAAAGAAGCAGCACAGGAAGACAUCAUGCACAUUCACCACAGGAAGGAUCCGCGCGCCUCCGCACGUUAUAUGGUCACCUACCUACCGCACGUUGUUGGCCACCUGCCUGCCAUGCUACUAAGAGCAAGAUUAAUAAUACAAACAUGUAUAAUGCUGGCUAUUAGCCCAUCAAUAGAAAACAUGUAUAAUAGUUAGCUAUAAGUAUGCACUAUUUUAUGAAUACAUUGCCCGCAUCUCACUCUCAUAGGAAGCCUAGGGGCAUGUGUGAUGCCACCGGCUGUUAGCUAGCAGCCCGCUUCUCUCCUCUCUUCCAUUCAACUCAACAAAAAUAUAGUAUUUAAAAGCUUACAACCUGCCCACGUAACCAUAUUGUACUUGCUCUAAGCUCUCGACUUGCUAUGGUUAGGGAAAUUGAGUACGAAAGAGCGUAUGCAUUCGAGUGAUCGUGUCGGAAAGAUGCAAUCAAUAUCAGCGAUCAUACGACUUGCGAAAGGAAACAAACACAUCCCCAUAUGUGGAGGAGGCCAAGGGUCUGUUUGGAUUGAGCCCCAGAUAGCCCUACCAAAAAAUUGGCAAGCUAUACUUGUUUGGUUUGCAGCCCUAGUGGAGCACCAAUUUUUUGGAAAACGAUUAGGCCACUAUUUGGUUUGCUUACAAGUACAGUUUCUGCAACUUUCAGUUCUUGAACGAGCAGAGAAGAACACCUCAAUCAAUUUAGAUCACUGAAGCAUGUAUAACCUGCUCCAAAUUCUCUUGCACUGGAGCAUCUGCACACCACUAGGAGCAGUACGCCUCCAUCGAUUUAGAAAUAUGUUGACCACAUCGUCGGGAUUUUGAGUUCUUCUCCAACUCCGGCCAACGCCCGCCGCAUCGAUUUCUUUGUUUUCCGGCGGGGUAAAGAUGGAUUCCUUGGGCAUCUAAAAUCAAAGACACAUAAUCUUCAUUUCCCAUCGAUCAAUUUUGAGUUUUGGACCCUGUAGCAUCACUCACGGGGAUGUUGCCGCCGGCCGCCACUUUCGCUGGCCGUAGUUUGCACAGCCGGACAUGCUGAUGCCACCAACGUAUUCCUGGAGUUCCUCUGAUUCCGUUUUGUGCUUAUCCGUCAUCCCCGAUUGCCCCAGAAAAAAACGGGAAAACGCAAGACAUGCAAGAUUAGCGAGAGGUUACGACGAGAAAGAGAGGAGAAUGCGGCUGCCAAAUAUUUGGCGGAGGAUUUCUACGCCCUGGACUCGCCCGCGAGUUGGUGAAAAAGCACGGGCGCGCUCGGGCGAGAGUUGGCUCACCAAAUUAUCGGUCACAGUCCAAACAACGGCCAAAUGUCACGGGCGUACCAAUUUUUUGGUAAGGCUUGCGUUGGCCAUAAACCAAACGUACCCCAAGUACACAACAAAAUACUGAAUUGUGGGAGUAUAUGGGCUGGAGUAAUGGGUCGAUUAUUAAAAUUUUGGACUGAAUUGUGGGAGUAUAUGGGCUGGAGUAAUACAUCAGUUACAGAUGUGUGGACGUGUGGUUUUAUGCAUCAAUGGAGAGUUUGAAGAAAAAAAAAAUAUUACAAGUCUGGAGGACUUAGCCACAUGGAAGAAUAAUUGAACCCCAUCAUGUAGUAUCCUGUCCUCUUCACACCAUCACCGAUACUUCGGUCUUCCCUGCAAUACAUACGGUCACCACUGCCCGAUGUCAGCGAGUAGAUCUGGUCGCGCGGCAACUCCUUCUCCUUAUUAGAGAAGGUGGGGCGAGAGUAGUAGAUGUGGUUUCUCUCCAAACCGCGUCGUUGGACGCCCAACGGCACGUGCACCGCCUUAGACCGCAGCAGCCCCCAAAACAAGGCAUAGUUGUCGAAGCUCGUAACCUCUUCCCAUUUGCAGUCGCCGGAGUCAGCAUCGACAAGCUUGAAGACCUUAAAGAAGGCUUCGCGGUUAGGCAGCCACCGGGUCCUCACAGCCAUGGACAGUUUACCCUGUAGCUCGAAGAUGUGGCCGGCGUAUUGCACGGGUUCAUCCCGCCUGGUGGGGCCAUCACGCCUUUGAAUGGCCAGCACGUGUGUGGCUGUGACCACCGGCGAGCCAUCUUCCUCCCAGCCGAUUGUAAACUUGAUGAGCUCCUCAUCCGGUGCAAGAAGUGUUGGAAUUUUGGGUUAGGCCCAAGGUCCAAUCUGAAAUUAAUUCCUGAAAAAUCUCAAAAGCCCAUUCAUGGAGUGGAAUGAGGAAGUGGGAAUAGUCCCACCUAGCUAGUUUAGGAGAGUUGGAUCAAUAUAUAAGAUAUGUUGGUUCUAACCUCUUGAACAAGUGAGCAAGGUAAAUCCCCACGCGCGCUCAUCCUCCUCCUCCUCCGCUCGCCUCGCCCCACGCCACGCCACGAGUUUCGUGGAUCGAUUUGGUCGGUGCGGUGCAGGGUCGUGCUUAUCUUGUUUUCCAUCCAGUCGACUGCGUGCAUAGAUCGUCGGGAGAGCAGGCCUCUGGAACCCCGACCUUCGAGAUCCUGUCCGAGAGACUGUCGAUAAGGUUUUUGGGAAGCGUUCUCAUGCGACUGCUCGCUUCUUCACGUCCCUGUUUCAUCGGCAUCUUCAUCACCAAUGGCCGAUGACCUCGGAGAUCCUGCGGCUCAGACUGCCGCUCUAGCUCAGCAGCAGCAGGCUGCCCAACUCCAAGCCCAGGCAAUUGCUGCUGCACAGGCGCUGGCCGCUGCCCAGGAGGUAGUCAAGACUGCUGCUGCUGCCGGCAUGAACAUCGACGCCGCCGGACUCGUCACCGACCUCAACAAACAAACACAAGAAAAGAGUACAACACUGUACGUCUGCUCUUUCUUGUUGAUUUUGAUUAGUAGUUCUAUUAUUCAUGUCGUGAAAUUAGAUGAGUUUUAUUAAUGUGCGUUGCUAUUUAAUUUGUCUAGUUUGCAUGAUAUAAUAUGCUACAUGUUUUACACAUUGUUUUUCUGGAUUAAAUAUUCAUCGAAAUUACCUAAUUAUUCAACAAUCCAAAAACCUUAUUCGUGUAGCCAAUUUUCGAUGUCUCAAUUUGCUGUCGCAUUGAAACCACCUGUGUUUACUGGACUGCACUUUAAGAGGUGGCAGUAUAAAUGUCAUAUGUGGCUCGUGGCUAUGGGCGCAUGGUGGGCGGUACAACACGGGAAGACUCAAACAAUUGCUCCUCAACAGUUGUAUGUUGAGGCUUGUGUUGUAGUCGUCGGUGUGAUCUGUAGUAUGCUGGGAGAUAAGCUCGUUGAUGCUUAUCUACACUAUCAGGAUGCCAAAGAGUUGUGGGAUGCGCUCGAUGCUAAGUUUGGCGCAUCUGACGCCGGCAGUGAGCUGUACAUCAUGGAGCAGUUCUUUGACUAUAAGAUGGUUGCAAACCGAUCUGUAGUGGAACAAGCUCAUGGGUUACUGACUAUGGCUAAGGAACUUGAGCAAUUCAAGUGUCCACUACCCGACAAGUUUGUCGCCGGGGGCAUCAUGGCCAAGCUUCCUCCCUCGUGGAGGAACUUUGCUACUUCACUAAAACACAAGAGACAAGAAAUCUCUGUGGAGAACCUGAUUGGGACUCUUGAUGUUGAGGAGAAGGCGAGAGCAAAAGAUGCUGGCCCCAAAGGCAACACGCAAGAGGGUACGUCCACUGCCAACAUGGUUCAGAGGAACAACCACAACAACAGUAACAGCAAGGGAAAGGGAAAGGCAUUCAACAAUGCUGGUCCAAAAAACACUACCACUUUCAAGAAGAAGAAGAAAAGAGGCAACAAGGACAAGGAUCCUUACUUUGUGUGCGGAGGACUCGGCCACUGGGCGAGUAACUGCAAGGAGCGCAAAGGAGGACAGAUUCGGCAAAAGUUUGCUAAUUUGACCAUUGGUAACAAUGAAGAUGCAGGUGGGUAUAGUCAUUUAUUUACUGUAUUUUCUGUAUGUCAGUCCACCGAUUGGUGGUCAAUACAGGUGCAACUAUUCAUGUGUGUGCUGAUAUUUUCUUGUUUUCUUCAUAUCAGGCCAUCAGCUCCUCAGUGACGAUGGGGAACGGCGCUCAUGCUUCUGUUCAUGGUGUUGGCACGGUGGAUCUGAAGUUUACUUCGGGAAAGAUCGUGCAGCUGAGGAACGUGCAGCAUGUGCCCUCCAUUCAGAAGAAUCUUGUUAGUGGAUCCCUCCUUUGCAAGGACGGAUUUAAGUUAGUGUUUGAGUCCAAUAAAGUUAUUGUGUCUAUGUAUGGACAAUUUAUUGGUAAAGGUUAUGAGUGUGGAGGCUUGUUCCGCUUAUCCCUUUCGGAUUUUUGUAAUAAGGUCGUGAACCGCGUCAAUUGUAUUAAUAAUGAGUCUAAUGUUUGUCAUUCAUGACUUUGUCACAUUAAUUUUAGUUGCAUGAUGCGAUUAGCAAAUCUGAGUUUAAUCCCUAAAAUCACUGUGGCUAAAGAUUCGAAGUGCCAAACUUGUGUGCAAGCGAAGCAGCCUCGCAAGCCUCACAAGGCUGCUGAGGAGAGGAACCUAGCACCAUUAGAACGCAUACAUUCUAAUCUUUGUGAGAUGAACGGUGUAUUAAUCAAAGAUGGAAAACGUUACUUUAUGACUUUCAUUGAUGAUGCGACUAGAUUCUGUUAUGUGUAUUUAUUAAAAUCAAAGGAUGAAGCAUUGCAUUAUUUCAAGAUCUAUAAAGCUGAAGUCGAGAAUCAACUUGAGAAGAAAAUUAAACGUUUGCGGUCUGACCGCGGUGGAGAAUAUUUCUCCAGUGAGUUUAAUUCAUUUUGUGAGGAACAUGGCAUAGUCCAUGAGAGGACACUUCCCUAUUCGCCCCAGUCAAACGGGGUUGCUGAGAGGAAAAUCCGCACGCUGACUGACUUGGUCAACGCCAUGUUAGACACUGGUGGUUUAUCCAAGGCAUGGUGGGGGGAGGCGCUAUUAACUUCGUGUCAUGUCCUAAAUCGUGUUCACACAAAAGAUAAAGUCACCCCAUACGAGCUAUGGGAAAAGAAGAGACUCACACUUUCUUACUUACGGACUUGGGGUUGUUUGGCGAAAGUCAAUGUGCCAAUUACCAAGAAACGUAAGAUUGGACCAAAAACCGUUGAUUGUGUCUUUCUUGGCUACGCACUUCGGAGUGUUGGCUAUAAAUUCUUGGUUGUAAAUUUUGGAGUACCUGACAUGAGCGUUGGUACAAUUAUGGAGUCCAGGGAUGCUACAUUCUUUGAGAACAUAUUUCCCAUGAGAGAUAUGCAUAGCACAUCUAGAGAGGAUCAUGAUGUACCUGCUGAACCCGUCAGUUCAGAGGAACAUCAGGAUCAUGGUGUAGCUCCUGAACCCGCCAUCCUAGUGAAAAAUCUUGAACAAACACUUGAUGAGAUUCCUGAGGAGUAUGACAAUGAAGCCCCUAUUAGGGGUAAGUGACAAAGGAUUGCUAAAUCCUUUGGUGAUGAUUUCAUUGUUUACCUUGUGGAUGACACCCCUAAAACCAUUAAUGAGACUUUUGCAUCUCCGGAUGCAGACUAUUGGAAGGAAGCCAUUCGUAGUGAGAUGAAUUCUAUCAUGGCUAAUGGUACUUGGGAGGUCGUUGACCGUCCGUACGGGUGCAAACCUGUAGGAUGCAAGUGGAUAUUAAAAAAAACUUAGGCCUGAUGGUACUAUUGAGAAGUACAAGGCGCGGCUUGUGGCCAAGGGUUUUACACAGAAAGAAGGUGAUGAUUUCUUUGAUACUUACUCACCUGUAGCUCAAUUGACCACAAUUAGAGUAUUACUAUCACUGGCUGCCUCAUAUGGUCUGAUCGUCCAUCAAAUGGACGUUAAGACAGCUUUCCUUAACGGAGAGUUGGACGAGGAAAUUUACAUGAAUCAGCCAGAUGGAUUUGUAAUAAAGGGUCAUGAAGGCAAAGUGUGUAAGUUAUUAAAAUCUCUAUAUGGCCUGAAACAAGCUCCUAAGCAAUGGCAUGAGAAGUUUGACAAAAUUUUAACAUCUGCCGGCUUUGUUGUAAACGAAGUUGACAAAUGUGUAUACUACUGCCAUGAGGGGCGGGGGUGAGGGAGUUAUACUUUGUUUGUAUGUCGAUGACAUACUAAUAUUUGGGACUAACCUCAAAGUGAUUGAAGAGGUUAAGACUUUCUUGUCGAAGUGCUUUGACAUGAAAUAUCUUGGUGUAGCUGAUGUUAUUCUGUACAUCAAGCUCGUGAGAGGCGACAAUGGUGAGAUCACUUUGUUACAAUCUCAUUAUGUGGAAAAGAUCUUGAGUCGUUUUGACUAUGCUGAUUGUAAACCUUCUACAACUCCUUAUGAUCCAAGCAUUCUGCUUCGAAAGAAUCACAGAAUUGGAAGAGACCAACUGAUAUAUUCUCAGAUUAUUGGUUCACUCAUGUAUUUGGCUAGCACAACUACACCUGACAUCUCUUUUGCUGUGAGUAAACUGAGUCGGCUCAUUAAGAAUCUGGGAGAUGAUCAUUGGAGUGCACUCGAGAGGGUCAUGCGCUAUUUAAAGGGCACAAUGAGCUAUGGUAUACACUAUACUGGGUACCCCAAGGUACUUGAGGGUUAUAGUGAUUCAAAUUGGAUAUCUGAUGUUGAUGAGCUAAAGGCCACUAGUGCAUAUGUGUUCACACUCGGAGGGGACGCUGUUUCAUGGAAGUCUUGCAAGCAAACGAUCUUAACCAGAUCAACAAUGGAAGCAGAACUUUCAGCAUUAGAUACAUUCACGGCUGAAGCCGACUGGCUUCGUGAGCUCUUGAUGGACUUGCCGAUUGUUGAAAAACCAAUACCAGGGAUUCUUAUGAACUGUGACAAUCAAACUGUGAUAGUGAAAGUGAACAGUUCUAAAGAUAACAUGAAGUCAUCAAGACACUUCAGGAGACGUCUGAAAUCUGUCAGAGCAAUGAGAAAUUCCGGAAUAAUAGCAUUGGGAUAUAUCCCAACGGCUAAAACUCUGGCAGAUCCCUUUACAAAGGGUCUAUCAAGGAAUGUGAUAGAAUCUGCAUCAAGGGAGAUGGGGUUGCGACCCACGUGAGUUACCAUGGCGGUAAACCAACCUAUGUGAUCGGAGAUCCCGUGAAUUGGGACCUGGGAAACAAGUCAUUGGAUAACUGAGGAGAGUGUACAUUCUUUAUCCCACUCCGUUGACGAUGCAUUACUCUCGUGUACUGUAUGGUAGGUUGUUAACUUAAUGUGUUCUAACGCGUUACAUUAAUUUGCAAGGGAGAUACUGUCCUACAGAGUAGUCUCUAAAGAACACACCUAUAUGAACCUGACUGUCGGUCGCAGUCUAUGAGAUUUAGGUGGUCUCUAGUAAGCUCAUGAAAAGGCCUGGAGAAUGACUUAUAUGCUCCACACCGCGGGAUAGCAUUCGGCAGCCUAAUACCAGACAACAAUUUAGUGAAGCUCUAAUACAGAAAACUGACAAUUCAAGAUUUGUCCAUUGUUCAGUUGUGUGUGAGUGAAGCUAUUUGUUUAGGUGGAUAUUCAACCUUAACCAGUCUCCACUGAAACGCUGAUAUAUCAAAAACAGAGUUUUGGAUCAAUGGCAAUUUUAUGUGCUUAUGAGAUAUUGUGGAGGAUUGUUGGAAUUUUGGGUUAGGCCCAAGGCCCAAUCUGAAAUUAAUUCCUGGAAAAUCUCAAAAACCCAUUCAUGGAGUGGGAUGAGUAAGUGGGAAUAGUCCCACCUUGCUAGUUUAGGAGAGUUGGACCAAUAUAUAAGGUAUGUUGGUUCUCAACUCUUGAGCAAGUGAGUAAGGGAAAUCCCCACGCGCGCUCCUCCUCCUCCUCCGCUCGCCUCGCCUUGUCACGACGCGCGCGCGCCGCGUUUCGUGGAUCGAUUUUGAGUCGUGCCGGGCCAGGCCGGGGCAGGGUCAUGCUUAUCUUUUUGGCAAUCGGAAUCCGUUCCGGACGCGUAACAAAUCCCGAUAAUUGCGGAGUCGGUUUUGGUUUUUUAAACCGAACCGAAGUCCGCCUACAUGCCGAUAUAAUAAGACGACCGCGACCGCGGCCUCCGGACGUAUGACGCCACAACCCUAGCCAUCACGGUCACGAUCCAAUCUCGCUGUUCGCCGCCAACUGCUACUCCAUCCCGUCGACUGCGUGCAUAGAUCGUCGGGAGAGCAGACCUCCGGAACCCCGACCUUCGAGAUUCUGCCCGGGAGACGGUCGAUAAGGUUUUUGGUGAGCGUUCUCACGCGACUGCUCGCUUCUUCACGUCCCUGUUUCGUCAGCAUCUUCAUCACCAAUGGCCGACGACCUCGGAGAUCCUACAGCUCAGGCUGCCGUUCUAGCUCAGCAGCAGCAGGCUGCCCAACUCCAAGCCUAGGCAACUGCUGCUGCACAGGCACAAGCGCAGGUGCUGGCCGCUGCCUAGGAGGUAGUCAAGGCUGCUGCUGCUGCCGGCGUGAACAUCGACACCGCCGGACUCGUCACCGACCUCAACAAACAAACACAAGAAAAGAGUAUAACACCGUACCUAAUCUGUUUUUUCUUGUUGAUUUUGAUUAGUAGUUCUAUCAUUCAUGCCGUGAAAUUAGAUGGGUUUUAUUGCUGUGCGUUGCUAUUUAAUUUGUCUAAUUUGCAUGAUAUAAUAUGUUACAUGUUUUACAAAUUGUUUUUCUAGAUUAAAUAUUCAUCAAAAUUAUCUAAUUAUUCAACAAGAAGGUCAAGGCCAUGCGCAAGGGUAAGGCCAUAGAGAUCACCGUUGCAGAAGGCUAUAUCUAUGAAAAUCCUCUUGCGCCAACCAGACUCCUGGGCGGCCCUGGCCCAGCCGCUGUGGGAGCCAACUUUGCACAGCGCGACGUUGAGCCAAUCCUCGGUGAUGGCGGCGAGCAAGCAGCCGUCGGAGGUGGGUGCUUGGGAAAAGAUGAGUUUCGGGAUGGUGUUUUCCCUAGGAUCGCCACCUGGCGCGAUCCAGUAGGGGGAAGGGAACAUGCUCUGCUUCGGGGAGAGAACCCACCUCAACGCCGGAGAAGAGGUUCACGAUCACGAGCUCGCGGUUGUUGAACGCCGGGACCCAGCCGCCGUCGUGGGAGCCAGUCAGGAGCUUCCUGGCCACCUUGCUCGGGACGCGCAAGACACAACAACUGUCCUCGUUGGGGCCGCACAGGUGCUUCGUCUCGCUGCGGCAGCGUUGGGAGAGGAGCAGCAGUGGGGCUGCGGGCUGCGCCGUCGGGAGGAAAGCCUCAAGUGGACCAUGCCGACGAGGUCGUCGCAGAGGUCGGACCACCGCGCUGACGAUUCUGUGCUGCCGUUCCCGGCGGUCAUCCGCAGAGGCGAUUCGAUGAUAGAUCACGUGUACCGUGGUAUUUGGCGAGUGUACCGACCUGUAAGUCCGCUAACGCAAAGCGAGGAGUUGGUACUAGUCUAUCGGCCGAACAUCAAAUCUAUAGCCGAAUAGAUUUGUUCGAGUAUGAUUGAACAAAUCUACAGCCGAAUAGACAAAUCCGACCGUUCGUAGGAUCGACAACUUUUGUUCUCUGAGAUAAACAAUCAAGGUCUCGUACAGGCUAUACAGCCGUCUUGGCGUUGCAGGCGCGGCCGCAAUCCAGCCAGCGCGUGCCGGAGGGGCCUCUCAACGGAGGACGCGGUCGGUCUGCCGGUCCAUCACGUUGGGCGUUGGGCGUUGGCCGUCACGUACUUGACUUGAGCGACAUGAGUUCGAUGGACGAUGCCUCCUCUUCAAGCAAAUACUCCGUACUUGUGAAAUGUGAGCUCUUAUUUCAGAUGAAAUGUUGUGUUGUCAACUUGUCAAGGUGCCGUGUAACGCCUCCUCGCUUCCUUCUUCCUCCUCGGGCUCACCGGGUGAGCCAAGCAACCCGCUCGCUGGAUGUCAGACACACUGAUCGGCUGAGGAAAUGCUGCUUUGCUUGCAGUUUUUGUGUUCUUGUGCAUCUGUGAUCUGCGUAAGUCACAGUGAUCGGCUGAAGCAAUACUCCCUUGCCUGAUUCCCCUCUUUUCCCUCUGUUUCAAUCUCUCUAUCCGUUCCCCUUUUUCUACAGUCUGUUGCGACAUGGAGGAGAAGAGUUUGAUUCGGUCGACACUGGGAAAUUUCAUCCAGAAUAUGAUUGGUAGGCCCAAGAAAAAAAUGGUUUCAGAAGAGACAAGGUGUUCUAUCAAAAUGCCAAUCAAAAAUGUGUUAUUUUGACUUAGUUUGACACUGAUGAAUUGGACUGCAAUGAAAAAGUACAUAUGAAAGAAGAAAAAGGUUGGAUAGUCAAAAAACAAAGUCAGAAUAUGGUUGGAAAAACUUAAUUAUCAUAAUCCACCACAAUGCUGCGAAACCAACCCUUUGUCUAAGACAAAGAAAGAUGUGCACAUUUUGAUUGCUGAUGAUCUUGGCUAAUUUUUUUUAAAUAAUACUAUUUUUUUAAUCAUUUUUAAAAAUAAUACGUGUUUUUUAAAAAUUUCAAAAAUAAUGCGGCCUCGGCCUAGGCGAGGCCGAUUGAGCUCAGUCGGCCUCGGCCAGGCCGACUGCAGGCCGCCUGCUCAGCCCGCGAGGCCCCCACGAGGCAGUCGGCCUGGCCCAAGCCGACUGAAACCUAGGCCAACUGGCCCAGUUGGUUUCGGCCAGGCCGACUGGAUUCAGUCGGUUUGGGCCAGGCCGAUUCGAAGUAAUUCCAUUUUUUGUUUCGGAUCCUUGCGGUCUUUUGAACUAAAAUACUCAACUUGGAUAAAAGUAACACACCGAAUCCGAUCAGAAGUAAUUAGAUUUCGCCGCGAGUUCGUGCAUGAUCAACGCAUACACAGCCGAAGCUCAUUUUUGUCUCGAAUCCUUGCGGUUUUUUGAACUAAAAGACUUAACAACUUGGAUAAAGAGUAACAUACAUCGAUAAUUUGCUGGACAAUUUUUGUGUCGAUUCUUUGCGGUUUGUUUGAACUGGAAGACUUGACAUUUGGAUAAAUUUGGAUAAAUUAACAUACAUCGAUAAUGUGCUGGUUACAGAACCAAGGCAUGACUAAAUUAACAUACAUUGGUAAUACCGCAAUUGGACAUAAUUAAAGAUAGCAAAUACAUUUGAAACACAAGCACUACUGAGUCCACUUAGCCAUUUUCCGCUCGUAUCGCCACGUCCUUCUGCAGCCUUUGCCACGGCGGCCCUUUCUCUUUGCCUCUCCCUUUCUGCCUCACGAGCAUCCUUGCGACUUUGUUCCUCCUCUUGCAUCUCAAGUGCUUUCUCCCUGUUUUUCCUAAGUGCUUCAUCAAUCCAACGACGUUGUUCCUCCCUAUGCUCUUUCAUCUCUCUCUCUUGCUCCUCUUUCUCCUGGUCUGAAGCUUUUUCCACAUGCUUCUCCGCGUGGAAACACUGCCAUGCAUUUCGGGACCUUGUUUUGAUCUCUUCCACCGCCCAAUCCGGCAUCUCCGUGUCAUCCUCCUCGGCCUCUCGCCCUGGUCCGAGCAAGGCAAACUCAUCGGGGUCACUGGAAUAUUGGAAAAAACAGUAGUGGGAAGGAUGCUUGGAUGACUACCGGAGAUGAGGUAUUUAUAGGCUCUCAAACUCAUUCUCCCGGCACCGUUUCCCGCCUCGUUUUCCCGCCAGCGUUUCCCGCCUCCUUUUCCCACCACCGUUUCCUGCCUUUUUCCCGUCACUGUUUCCCGUCUAUUUGUAUCUUCUGUAACUAUAAAAGACCGUCCAUGGUAUUGAAGUGUAGUCUCACCAUUUCAUCUGGGAAGAUGUCGUCCGGCUUCCCAGAUGAUCGUAGAUUUUGGUCAGGUAUGUCCCGAGAGCUAUUGUGGUUAGCAGGUGAUUUCAAGGUAGACAAUAGGAUAGUUUCAUGGGACGAACUCAUUAGUAGUGACACCCUACUAACUGAGCUGAGCCACCAAUUAUAUAGGUGCAAUUUUCCAUUGAGGACUUCUGCAGAGAUACGGCAAGAACUGCUAAGGUUGCACGAAAGGUGGAAGAAGCACAGUGAACGUAAGAGUGAGUCAUACCUACAAUGGGCUAGAAAACAUCCGUGUUAUGGGUUGAAGAGGAGGAAUCCGAUGAAGAUAUCUUCAUGCCAAGCAAAACGGGUAAGAGUUCUUCAUCGUCCAAGGGGAAGAGUACUGCACCAUCGAAGCGAAAGAGCACAUCAUCGUCCAAGGGGAAGAGUACAUCAUCGUCCCAUGAAGAUAUCUUCAUGCCAAGCAAAACGGGUAAGAGUUCUUCAUCGUCCAAGGGAAAGAGUACUGCACCGUCGAAGGGGAAGAGCACAUCAUCGUCUAAGGGCAAGAGCACUUCAUCUUCGUAGAGUUAGAAUUAGGUUAUCUUAUUUUAAGUUGUCGAUUUUAAUUUCAGUCUUUCUAUUGCAUAUAUAUUUCAGUCCUGCCAUUUUUUAUAUGCAAAUGUAACUUGAAUAAGAAUGCGAAAAAUAGUAACAUGUAUCUCUCAUACAUAGGUAGAAAUAUGUCUCAUACAUAGAUAGAAAUAUGUCUCAUACAUAGGUAGAAAUAUGUCUCAUACGUAGGACCUACAUGCAAAUAUCAGGCACGGUGUCUGGGACGGCGUUCCGGGGGUGCCUAUGGCGUGGUCCAGCCAUACCUAUGAGGUGGCACAACGUUGCGCGGAGGAAUCACGGACCCAUCCUCACGAUACUGUGUAUCCUCCUGUGUGGGGUCUGGUCGCGGAGUACUGAACAUCCAGCUGUGUUGGAGAGAAUAGUGCUCUCCUCGAGCGUGAUCCUGCUCACUAUCCCACGAGGGUUCGGACAACGACGACUGAUGCCCGUAGGGUCCUGCAUGUGGGAAAGUACUUAGCAUUAGAAUUGUGUAGCAAUCAUGGUAAUGAACACAAUAGAUAGAAAUAUACAUACCCUGUGGCUGGGUCUGUGGACGAAACUCGAAGUUCAUCCUGCGACUCUGCUGGUGCUGCCACGCCGAACCUCUAGCCUGAAAAGAGGGGGGCUGCUGCUGCCACACCGAACCUCCAGCCUCAAAAGAGGGCUGCAGCUGGUGCCAAUAGUUGAAAGAAGACUGCGGCUGGUGCCACGACGAACCUCCGGCCUGCUCAGGAGGUGGUGGCCUGGGCGUCGACUGCUCUGGUAGACGUGGACGCGGGUGGUGUCGGGGGAGCGGUGCUUCCUGCUGACAUGGCCGCUGCUGGUGCGUGGAGUGACGAGGUGGCCGUACGGAUGCCUGGUGGUGAACGACGUCCGAAGUGCAGGUGCACGUGAUAGCCGCGUAAACAGAGCGUAGCUUCUCCUUCAUUCGUCUAAGCCAGGACUGGUGCGGCUCCCGUGGUAGUAGAAGUGGACCGGUCGAAAGCGAACGUCCAUACGCAGCGAACUCGGCCUGUAAAUUCUGUGUCAACUGAGCCUGCAAUUGGCACGAAGAGUAUUACAUAUAUAUGGCAAAGUACGUAACAAACACAUGCAUUAUGUUAAGAGAAGAUACUUACCGCGUGCUGUCUAGAGCCUGAAGUAGACUGGCUAGGGUACAUAUCUUGCAAACUCGGCUCGGCUAUCUCCUGGGGGUGAGAGUGCUGAAUGAUGCUCAAUCGGGUAGCUGUCAUGUACCUCUGCAAAUAUCCGUUGAAUAGAUCAAGAUCAAAGGCCUCCAAUGGCCAAACCCGUGUCGUCGCAGUCUCCCACUCUGUGACGUACGACUGAACCCUCUGCAGUCACUGAGUCAGGGUCCUGGUACUUCCCUUCCUGGUAAACCUGAGAUCGCAAUAGAAAGUUGAACAAUUAAAUUAUGGAUAAUUCUGGACGACAAUCAUAAAUUGCAGAACUGCACAUACCUGUGGACGAUCUGUGGAAGUGGAUCAUCCGUCGGUGGAGGAACGACCAACCGGCGUGCCCCAAACUACCUCAUGACCCUCUGCUGGGCCAUCUCCUCCAUGCAGACGUCGAAGAUGAUCUUUGAUUUUGUCAUCCAGUAAGCAUAAUCUCUCGUGCAGACCGUGGACAUCCCGCCAGGGUAUCUAUCAUCGAUGGCAUCUUGUGUGUACGGCUCCUAGACAACCGCCUCAGAGUGCAACACGUCGAACUGCUCGUUGAAUGAUGGGUAGCAAUUCCUGACCUGAUCGUGUGCAAAGCGUCUCUGUAAAAAAAAGAAGUUAGCUUCAUUCAUGGUUUAUGUAAACUAAUGUAUGAAUUUCACAUUCGACAUACCUUGCUACGUGUCCAAAUUGUCGCGAAAGUAGGCAGGUCGAUGUGUUCUAAGUCAAACAACUCCUGCUCAGGGUUAGGGUGAUCACCCGUAACGUCUGGUCGGCCGAUAGAAAACCUCUCCCACGACCAGAGCUGCAACAAUAAAGGACAUCCAAGCAGGGCUGACUUGGGCGACGCAAGCUGGCAAGCGUUGCACAUACCUCGGUACGUAGCCGCUAAGACGGCCGAACCCCAACUCCUCUGUGUGAUGUCGUCACCACAAGUUGCAUUCGCGAUCUCCACUGCAAUAGGGAUGUAGCGUGCGCUAAUGGUGGUGACGUGGUUCUCGGUGAACAUCACCUCCCGAGAAGCCACAUUAUAUAUGCCUCAAGGCUCCGAGUGAUCUGAGGCUCAGUCAUUUGGGUCUCUGUAUACCCAAACUUCUGAAUCUGCAUGCAACAAAAACCAAGUGUUAGUAAACCCAUGCAAGUAUAUGAGGUAUGCUCUUAGAUAUAUUAACUUAAAACACAUCGAUCUAACCUGGUAAUUAGGCAACCAAUCUAGCUUAGGUCCGUGAGCCUCCGAGGUAGGGGCUCAGCUCCGGCAAGAAUACCUUGAAAACGUAGGGAACAAAUUAACCCAUAGUUCCACAUAGCGUACAAAUUAAAACACAGGGCACAAAUUAACACAUACCUUGAAAGCGUAGUGCCAUACCCUCCUGCCAAUCAGCUGGUGCCUGCAACGGUCCUAUGGGAUCACCCACCAAUGGUAGUCCCAGCAGCAUCGAGACAUCCUGGAGAGUAGGAGCUAUCUCUCCCCAGUGAAAAUGAAACGUGUGUGUCUCGGGCCUCCAUCUGUCCACUAAGCAGCUCAGCAGCAAGUGGUCAAUUUGUAGCCGUGUAGAGUUGAAACCUCGUCGCUCACCCUCUACCAUUUCCGCACAAGUUGCCCCAACAAGUCGUGCGAAAGGUAAAAGGCCAGCCCACUUCAAACUGCAUAAAUAAAAUGGACAUGCAAGGGAUGAAUAAAUAAAAUGUAAAUGCAAGGGAUGAUUGAAUAAAAUGUACAUGCAAGGGAUGAAUAAAUAAAAUAGACAUGCAAGGAAUGAAUAAAUAAAAUGUAAAUGCAAGUGAUGAUUGAAUAAAAUGUACAUGCAAGGAAUGAAUAAAUAAAAUGGACAUGCAAGGGAUCAUUGAAUAAAUACCGCUGAAUCCAGGCAGGGUGUAUCAUCCAUUUUCCCUUAGGAGUGCGCGUGACAAGGGGCUCGACACUCUCAGGAUGCGCCACCAAUCGAGCAGCCUGAUGCUUACUCUCAAUCUCCGGAGAAAGCAAUGAUACUCUCUCCAUUUUGUGCCUGCAACAUUUAUAAACAAAGUUAGACAUACAAAUUAAAGUUAAGCAUAGUUAAACCGAGAGUACAUAUUAAAACAUAGUUGAACAAAGCGUACAAAUUAACACACAGUUCCACACAGAGUACAAAUUAAAACAAAGGGCACAAAUUAACACUUAGUUUCAGAUAGUACAAAUUAAAGCUUAGUUCCACAUAGAGUACAAAUUAAAACAUAGAGCACAAAUUAACACAUAGUUUCACAUAUAGUACAAAUUAAAACAUAGAGUACAAAUAAAAACAUAGAACACGAAUUAACACAUAGUUUCACAUAUAGUACAAAUUAACACAUAGUUUCACAUAUACAUGAUAAGCCUAGUUUCUUCCUCUCCCUCGUCGUCCACGUCUCCCUCUUCUACGGGCAGUAGCUCCACCAGUACCGAAAGUUGGACAAUAAGUGUCCCUGUGGCCAAAAUGGUUGCAUAGAAAACAUUGUCGUGACGGUCCUCCGGCUUCAGAUUCAUCCAUAUCAUUUCGGGUGCACCUGAACGGGCGUCUGCCUGUGCCUGUACGCAGUAGCCCGGGGUCAGGAAUGUACCGCCUUUCACCAGGGGUUACCUUGUUGAAAUUGCCCAUUGCACAAAACCCUAGCAUCUCACCCGUCCAUGUGCUAGGCACAGACUCUUUCAGGUAAUAGGGAGACACAAAUGAGAUUGCGUCCAUCCCUAGCUGCCCGCAAGCAACAAGUACAUGUGAGCAACGAAGGUGAAGCAACUUUGGUUUGUUGCAGGUGCACUCACACGUUGGCCACGCUUCAUUUCCAAUCUUCACCUCCUGUGUCCUCAAUUCAUUUCCAACGCCGAACUUGUCAGUUGGCAAGCGCACCUCAAACCUAUGUUCUUGAUUACCGAUGGCGACGACAGUAUGAGACGUAGCUUUUCCAUCUUCUCAUCCAUGUACUUCAUAAUCUUUUCACGGUACGGUGUAUUUGGGUUGUUCAUGAUAUGCAUUUCAGCUCUCUGGCGUCUAUCUCUGAAAUACUUCACCGUGCCAUGGAAAAUACCCUCGACGAUGGCUGUAAGUGGUAAAGCCCUAUUUCCCCUCAGGACAAAGUUGUAUGUUUCUGCCAGGUUAGUAGUCAUGACGCCGUACCUAGCGCCAUGUGUGUCAUGCAGCAAAGACCACCACUCCAGAGGCUUGUGCUCUAUCCACUGCUGAAAGUUUUUAAUCUGCCUCCCAACCCUUCUCCUAGUGCCGGGUGGGUCAAACCCUGGCAAGUCACAAAGCCCAACAAGUUCUUCCUCAGAUGGUCCUGUUCCAACUGCUGUCUGUGCAGCCACUGCUGCUACAUGUGCUGCUACCGCUGCGUUUCGUGCCGCUGUCCUCUCCCUAACAUGUUUCUUCUUGAACUCAUCAAGAUAACCACGUAUCCUAGUGUACUUCCAUUGUUGGUUCUGUUUGCAGAGUUUCUUGAAUAGAUUCAUAAGUGACUUGUUCCUGAACUGCGAGAAGAAGUUGGCCCCCAAAUGCCGCAUGCACCAACGACUCUGCAUGUCCUGCCAUGGAGUCUGUUCAUCAGGCUCAGGGUUUGUCAGUGUCCUUAUCACACUAAGUAUGCCUGCAUGUCUGUCAUGAAGGAUGCACACAUUCGGCUUAAUCAUGCACAAUUGCUCUCUUGAGCUGCCUGAAAAACCAUAACCAACUUUAAGUUUUCUCACCCUCCACGAAAGCAAAUGCGAGCGGAACGAUUUGAUAGUUGCCGUCUUGACCAAUGGCGGUCAAGAUCUGCCCCCUGUAUUUGCCAGUGAGAAAAGUACCAUCUAUGCAUAACACCAGUCGACAAUGAUGGAAAGCUUGAACGCAUACACCGAAAGUGAAGAACAGUCGUUGCAGCACCCUCACAGUUGGAUACUCUGAGUGCAGGAAGUGUUGGAUGUCGACAUAGGUGCCUGGAUUACGGGCUUGCAGUGUAUGGAGGAGGCGGACAACAGAGUCGUACGAGUCGAAAAACGAACCAAAUCUUUCCUCAAGAGCCCUCUGCUUAGCCCUCCAAGCCUUGCCAUACGAAAUGUUGUACUUAAACCUUACCCUGACCUUAUGCAUGAUGGCCUUCACUUCCAUUGCUUUGCUCUCCACUAUCUCCGUGUAAAGCAACCGAGCAAGAAGCGUCGACGAGAGGUUACGAUGGUCUUGAGGGAUACUGGGAAUGACACAUGUGUGCAACAUCAAGUCACUCACAACCCAAUCUGUGUCAUACUUAGGAACAUAGCCAUGCACCCUCCCGGGACAAUCUACUUGUUCACACUCCAUUGUAAGAUAUUUUUGUGAAGAGACUGUUGUUUUGAAAACCCUUUGCGUGGACAUUGCCCAAGCAAUUAUCGCAUCCUGCAGAUGUUUCUUGUCAGCAAAUCUGGCACCCUUCGCAAUGUUGUUCUGAUGAUAUUGUCAUGCAGAGUCGUGCCCAUCGUUCACGGUCAUAGCUGAAGAGAAGUGUUGAUUCCAUGAUGCAGGAGUCGGCACCUCCUCUUUGUCCGACUCAUGAGACUCAUCGUCAUAAGAACUACGGCCAUAUGUAUCUUCAUCCUCCAUCUCGUUCUGCAAGUGACCAUCUUCUUCGUCCGCAUCUGCCUCGCCAGUGUACUCAUCCUCUCCUACUGCCCCGGAGCUCUGGCCUGAUUCAUAACCACCACCUCCAGUAUUCGACACAGAGUUUGCAUUGGACAAGUCAUAAUUUGAUUCACCCUCGCCUUCAGCUGGAUUGGUCUCAUGAGCGACAACCUGGAUUAAGGCGACAGGUGUAGUUCCCCUUUUCUCGCAACUUUUUAACCAGCGCACCCACUUUGAUGUCCAGUCUAUCGGCCUCAAAACCAAAAAAAUAUUUGAACUUGACUUGGUCCACAAUGCUUGCACACGGGCGGUGUAUGUUUCAGGAUUGACCGCUAAACAUCCUACCAACCAUUCCUGCAACUGACUAAACGUCCAUGUUUGAGGGGCCGUUAGAUCCAACUCCACAUACUUAAACUGACUCAGGUCAGCUCCGUGCUCGGUUGUUAAGACAGUACCGGAACCGUAGUAAAAAACAAACUUCACUACACCGGACAUCUCUGAUGCCUAAAAAAAUGUUUAGACGCAUCAAAUACUAAGCAAUACGGCAUAUAAAAAAUAUUAUGACACGUCAAAUACUAAGCAGUACGGCAUAUUAAAAAUAUUAUGACGCGUCAAAUACUAAGCAGUACGGCAUAUUAAAAAUAUUAUGACGCGUCAAAUACUAAACAGUACGGCAUAAAUAAAAUCUAGCCUAAUCAAAACAUAUUACUACCGGCCAUACUAUUUGGACGCGUCAAAUACUAAGCAGUACGACAGAUUUAAAAUAUUAAUAGGUGUCAAAUACUAAACAAUACGGCAUAAAAAAAAUCUCGUCUAUCAAAACAUAUUACUACCGGCCAUAAUAUUUAGACGCAUCAAAUACUAAGCAGUACGACAUUACCCGUUGUCCAAAAUAAUGAGCACUACCAAACGCUAAAACAUACUUCUGGCAUCAUCACCAUUGCUCCAAUCAAAACAUAUACAUUGAAGCAGUGCACACGAAUCCUCAUAAACAUCAUGUGUCUAAGCAGUACACACGUAUCCUCAUAAACAUAUACAUUAUAAGAUAAAUACGUGAGAGAUUAGGAUUUACCCUUGAAGCGUGUGAACCCAACCUCGAGCAACCUCACAGUCACCCGAUGAGCACCACCACCUCCAAACUCCUCCAAACCACCACCAUUGCUCCAACUUUGCACCACAAAAUUAGCUCUACAUGGCCAAUGAAAACAGUAGAUCGAGGUGUCUUUGGGUGCCAACUAGGUAGGGGAUGCGAUUUUGUGGUUUAAAUGGGAUCAAAGUGCACUAAUUUGGGCUAGAAAAUGGGGCCAUUUGAGGAGAAAAUGAAGAACACAGAAGAGAAGAAGCUGGCUGGGAGAACGAGCAGAGGAGGAAGAAGCUGGCUGGGCUCACUCGGGCACGCACGGGAGGGAUGGGAAGGCAAAGUGAAAAAGGAAAAGGAAAAAGAUUCCGGCCCCGAACCCACCAUGCCGCUUUCGGCCACGACGAGGCCGACUGGCCAGUCGGCCUGGGCCAGGAUAACUGCCUCGUGGGGGGCCCACAGGCUGAGCAGGCGGCCUGCAGUCGGCCUGGCCAAGGCCGACUGGGCCUAAUCGGCUUGGGCCAGGCCGACUAGGCCCAUUCGGCCUUGCCCAGGCCAAGGCCGUAUUAUUUUUGAUAUUUUUGAAAAACACGUAUUAUUUUUGAAAAUGAUUAAAAAAAUCGUAUUAUUUAAAAAAAAUUAGCAUGAUCUUGCCGGUAGUUUGGUUUAAUGGAAUAGAAGGUAUUUCGUCUCAAAAAAGCAUUUAAAACAAACAUAAAAAUAAUAUAUCAAUGCCAAAUUUCUCAAGAUGGGUGACGUAGAGGGGAUGAGGAAUGUUCCCAAUCCUAAGCAUCCCGGCUAUCCCAGCCGAAAUACAAGCCUGUCCGGAGAGUACUCAUGAGUUCCCCGUUCGGUUGCAACAACCCCUGCAGGGAUUGAGUGGCGUUUAGAGAAAAUUGAACUAAACUGUCAUCGUUACUUCUCAAUCCCCAACGAGAAAGCCGUGCGAAAAACCCUGACAAUGAGGAUACACAGGGCAAAACCGAAGAAACAAGCCGCUACCGCGAAAACGAAACCCCUCCCGCUCCAACGACGCCGAACAGGGAACAUCACCUUGCGCCAGAGCGGGUAGGCAGAACUGGACUUCUUCGACGACCGGAGACAGGAAGAGGUUGCCCUGACAGGAACGGCUCGCGCAACGGCAAGCCUGCGUAGCACGAAGUCGCCCUCCCUGGCCAGCCCCACCGCGGCAAGCAAACUCUGCCGCCAGACGAGGGCUCCAAAGGUAACGCCUCCAAGGAGGACACGGCGUCCGAAGACGCCACCAUUGCCCGAUCCGAAAAACGCAUCUGAGCUUUCGCUCGGAGGCACCUCGCCUGCAAAAGGUGGGAUGUAGUAGGGCUGCACGAUGACGCCUUCAAGAAGGGAGCGGCGUCCAAGGACGCUGUCAUCGCUGGCACCAAAGGCGGUGCAGGGUUUUCACCCGCAGCCCACGCACCCAGCGUGAAUAGGGGCAAAAAACCUUCGCAAUGAAGAACUGACCAGAGGCCAGAGGCCACCAAAGCUCCGUGCGCACCGACGUAGGUCCGUCGACGCCAAUGGCCCAAACUAUCAGCCGCCAGGGCAUCACAACCGCCCCACGCACCGGCUUUGACGCACACUCGGCCCGCAGGCCCAAGCCGGACCCAAAACGGGCCCGCCCGCCACGGGCCAUCGAGCCGGUCGGGAACCUCCACGCACCGGCAAGUGCACGGCAAUGCUGCAACCACAUGCCGCCUAGCAGAACUGGCCGGCUGCCUGGGCCGGGCUCAUAUGUGAGCCCACGCCACCCAUCUGCACCCAGCAGACCAGUGCCGCCAUGCUGCCCAGCACCGCUCUGCGCCGACGGCCCCACGCGCCACCCCACGCCUCCACGCGUUCCCCGCCGUCAUCUCGCGCCACCAGGCGCCGCCUCGUCGUGGGAGAAGAGGAAAACGCUCCGCCGCCACCUUCCUUUGGCGUGCGCAGGCUUCGCCGGCACCCCCUUCGGCGGCAGCAAAGCAGGGGAAAGGGAGGAGGAGGAGGAAGACCGGUGGCGGCUAGGGUUUCAGGCAACACGGGGUAGGAGGAUGAUCCUUUGAUUUUAGUAUUUGCAUCUAGAUGUGGCCAAUGACUACAGAACGUACCCCAAUGCAGCAACUCAAUCCAUCAAAAAUAAAAAUAAAUCAAAGAGGCCGAAUAGAACAUGAAAUCCGAUAGAUCGAAUACGUUCAUAGGAUCGACACUUUGUGUUCUUUGAGAUAAAGAAUCGGAUUCCUAACAAUAUAUAGAAAGGGAUUUUGUUUUGUUUGUAGCCUUGUAUUAGGCAACUAGCCGCUGCUACUCGUAAUCGAUGGAAACAGAAAUGGGGAUGUCGACGGCGCCGUGGUCCUCCCUCCCCGACGACCUCCUCGGCCUGAUCCGCCACAGGAUCGCCUCCCCGCGUGACCGCGCGCGCCUCGCCGCCGUCUGCUGCUCUCGGCCACAGACCGGUGCCCGCAACGCACAAUCCGGCAGCGACGGCGCGACCUCUCCCGACUCCCACUCCCAGCUCGUCGCCUCUUCAAUCUUCUCGCGCUUGGCGCCUGCAACUCCGGCCAGCUCGACGGUGGAGAGGCCAAUCUGCACGGCAGCCGCAACUAAAGGACGGCACCAACUACCGAAUCAGGGGUAGGCGCAAGUUAGUUUCAGGUUGAGUUGUUGUUCAGAUCCGAGUUGUUGUCACGCUGUUCAGAUUUUGUUGUCGAGUUAGUGUUGCUGCUACUUCGAUUCAUGUUCGUGUGUAGCUUCUACUUGAAGUUUCUGUGUGACCGUGUGUACAGCGACAGCGUGUGUGAUUAUGUAUGUGAGGCUCAAUUGUACGUCAGAUUGCAGGUACGUGUGAUGCUAGUCUGUAUGAUUUGUCGAAUUCUGAAAUGAGAUGGUGCCGAAAUUUCGGAAAUUCCGGGUUACCCGAUACCCGAACCCGAAUUCCGGGUUAUUAAUUUUUUGCUCUAAUUUGGAGUGUUAAAUUUGGAAAUCCGAUUUUUUACUUACCCAAAUUACCCGACCCGAAUUUUCGGGUAAACCCGAACGCCCAGUCUGAUCCUAGUCCUUGUUAUUUGAAACAAAUAAAAAUAAUCAUAGCAGGGGUGUGGCCGGCCGGUACGUGGAUAUAUUUUGUAUCGUGUUUAAAGUUCCAACCGCACAUGUAUGCAUGUUACAUAUCGGAUUCCUUCUUUACUCCAAAAGGGAGAACAUAUCGGAUUCCUAGCUACUUAGUACUGCAGUAUAUAAGAUAAGGGAUUUGUUUGUACGGCGAUUAGCCAGUACUCGCAAUCGAUCGAAAGUUCGAAACACGUAGAGAGAUGUCAACGGCGCCGUGGUCAGAGCUCCCCUACGACCUCCUCGGCAUGCUCCGCCUCAGGAUCGCCUCCCCUCGUGACCGUGUGCGCUUCGCAGCCGUCUGCAAGCCGUGGCGUGCCGCCGCGCUGCUGCUCCCGGCGCCGCCUGCCGCCCCACUGCUGCUCCUCUCGCCGCGCGGCCGCAGCGGGAUGAAGCACUUGUGCGGCCCCAACGACAGCUGGGUCUUGCGCGUCCCGAAGAAGGCUCUCUACAAGCAGUUCCUCGGCUCCCACGACGGCGGAUGGGUAGCUGCGGUGAAUUACGACGGGCUAAUGAUCGUCAACCUCUUCUCCGGCGCCGAGGUUGUGCUCUCCGCAGACCAAACCACCAAGCUCGCCUCGAUCUGCUCUCCCAAGCCGUUGCCGUUCCACUGCGUGGGACACAGCAUCUGGAAGAUUGUCUUCUCCGGAGACCCCGCCUCCUCGGACGGCUGCACCCUCGCCGUCCUCAUGGGCGACCAGGCCCACGUCGCGGUGUGCAGAGUCGGCUGCCCGAACGGCGAAUGGGCCGUGCAGGCUUGGCACGGGGAGUCUAUCCAGGACAUCGCCUUCUGCAACGGCGAUCUCUACGGCCUCACGCUUGGCAGCGAGUCACUGAUCAAGUUUGAGAUCAGCAUGAAGCUGCAGGAACAAGAAGACGGCGGCAUGGCGCCGGUGCUCACGACCAUGGCUCACAAGCUGGCCAUCCAAAGGCGUGACGUUCCCACCUGGGAGCACGAUUUCAGGGCCUACUUCGCCUACAUUUUCGAGCUGCACGGCGAGCCGGCGAUGGCGGUGCGGACCCGGUGGCCGGCCAACCGUGAGCCUAUCUUCAGGGUGUUUAAGCUCUCCGCUGCUGCCGACGGCGUGUCUGAGCACAGGUGGGCAGAGGUGACGAGCUUGGGCGACUAUGCCUUGUUCUUGGGGGUGGCAUGGUCCAAGGCAGUGCAUCUGCCGAUGGAUGCCGGCCGGUGCGUUGCUCGUGAAGGCCUGGAGAGAAACCACAUCUACUACUCCACGCCUACCCGCUCCGAGGAAGACAAGUUGCCCGGCGACCAAGUGUACUCUGUGACAUCAGAAGACGGGCACCGUAUGUAUUGCAGGAAAGACCAGAGCGUGGGCGAUAGCGUUGGGAGAACAGGAUACCACAUGAUGGGUUGGCAUUAUUCUGCCAUGUGGCUACUCCCUCCAGACUUCUAGGUCAUAUAGUACUUCUUUUAGCUGAUAGGAGUCUUCUUUUAGCUGAUAGGGAGAUGACUCCGUCGAUCUUCGUACCAUAUUAUCAGCAUGAAUCUACGUGUGACUGAUUUCGGCCUGAAAGAGUAUCAUCAACCGUCCAGUGCAGUGAGCCGGCUUUCUUCUUGCAGAACACGUCGGAGCGAGAGAGAAAAAACUGUUUACCAGAUGACGAACAAACUGUGACAACCAUAUCAUAACACUGAAUAUAAUCUAUACAGAUGGUCCCCCCCUGAGGUUUGUACACACCGGAGUUUGUCGAAUUUCUGAUGACUGCGACUUAAUUACCGCUGUUGAUAAUACCCUCUACACACUUCUGCAAUCUGCAUGCUAUCCUAACUCCUAAGUAACUAAGCAAUUACACGACAGACUUGAAUCACAACGAUGACACCAGAUCACGGCACGGCAGAGCACCAGCAACUCGAAAAAGACCGACAAGAAAGCAGAAAGAUUCAGCUAAGUCCUUGCUCGGCGCCUACGAUACCCGUCACUGGAAUCAUGCGUCCAAAUGUUGAAUUACUCAUGAUGACAUUGGGCAUCUGCCCAAUCUGGUCAAUCAGCCGUAUGUGUUUGCAUGUGGCUCGUAACCAGCUGUGCUGUAGGUGCAAACAUGUUUGAUCCUGAAAAGGAAAUUUGGUAUUGGUUAGCAAUAGCCAACUUUAACUGGAAGAUACAAGAUGAGACGAACUCCUGUGAUUAUCAGUGUAGGUUAGCACCUGGAACAGCAUUAAAACCAUUCACAGUUUGGUGCAUGGCGGCCCGUGCAUGAACAUUAUGGCUGCUCUUCGUCUCAACAGCAUGUUCACCUCGGUCUAUUGAAACCUGUGGUAAUGAUCCACAUUGCUGGCUUGGUAAUGCUUGAGAAUCAAUCCUCUGAGCGGUGUCGGUAGAAGCACAUGACGCAGUGUGUGGAGGCCCUGCUGAAUGGCUUCUGCUGGCAGGAUCAUCAACAGUUUGCUGUUCACUCGACGCUGCUGUGCUGCUUGGUGGCAUCAUUGCUGUCGAAGAUGAAGUUGGUACAGGUGGCCGAAAUGUGUUUGAUGUUUCAAAAUCUCCUACCCACCCGCGACCAAACGUUAUUCCAGGAGGAAUGACCUGUUCAAUUCGCUUCGAUGCAACUUCCCAAGCGGCAGAACCAAGCUGUGCAGCAAAACGUGCCAGACUGCGGGAAUAGGACUGCUGCCACUGAACCCCAACCUGAAACAAGAAAAUACUGUGUUUAAGUGAGAAUGAUACUAUUUACCAUUCCCCAAAGUUACUGGGAAUCUGAAAGACUGAAACUAUAUUGAUAUAUCAUCGAUCUCUUAGGGAACAUGGCUUGUAUUGGACACUCAACUGGUACAAGAAUCUUCCUUGUUCCGUUGUAUGAUGUUGCCACUGGCAGCUCAUAUAUUGAACUGGAUGGUUGAUGAUGAUAAUAUGUGCUCCGGCGACUUUCUUCUACUAAAAGCGGCUUCUUCGCCAUUUUUCCUGACCAUUUACUCCCGGACCCUGGGACAUACGGAACAUUAAAUGAUGUCAGGGGGAAAUGGGUUGGUUGAAUCGGAAAGAUGUCCUUUAUUCAUCAGCAUCCCAUUGAAUACCCACUCAUUCAAAAUACAGAACUUUGGGGUGAUUUAAAAUAAUCAAAACCUGAGUAAUCUUCAAUGCUUUCCAUUUUGCGCUCGCUAGACCAAUUGUGCUCAUUGUUUCUAUUGGCAAAAGAAGCUUUCAGUACAUCUGCAAUUCUUCUUUGUAGAUCGAAUCCUGAGUGUGCAUGAUGUCCACUAUUUCCACCAGUAGCGAGUGCCGCACCAGGAAAUUCAGGAGGAGCACGUUCUGCUGGUGGUCUCCCAAUGUUUGGUUUGGCGGAGUUCUUUGGAGGCCUGCCUCUGCGACGUUGUGGCUUUGGUUCUUGCUCUGGUAGUGGUUCUGGCUCCGGCUUUGCUUUUGGUUUUGGUUUUGGUUCUGGCUCUGGUUCACUGGCAUCGCUAUCUUGCCUAAGAUUCUCAAAGUCCUUCUUAGCAACCUCUUGAAUUGCUCGUGCCUAUAAUACAUGAUACAUGAAUAUUACAUUUGCGCCAUAGCUUCCACAGAAACAUUGUAAUUCAUGAAAACAAGAAGACACAAUGCUUGACCUGUCGAUAGUAUAUUGUGUCUGGUGAGUUGUAGCACAUCGCAUUUGAGGUUAUCAAAAACACAUCAUCCUGUAAAUAGAAAGUUUGGGUUAGAGGUUACAAAAUGAAUGAGCAUAUAAAUAGCAUGCUGAAUAUGUGAAUCAUUAUGAGGAAUAACUUUGUACUAGCAUAAUAGUAAGAGUAUCACAACACAUUAACAUUACAAUAAGCUUUACGAACAAAAAGAUUGUGACAUCCUCCUAGCACGAGUAAGAAUAAUUCAUUCGAUAGAUAAUAAAAGUACACACCCAGCACGGCCUGUAAUGUUGAUUGUAGUUUAGAUACUAACAUACCGACUAUUUAACAGUGAGUCAAACUGCCAUUUCUUCUCGAGGUGUGGGUUGCAUCCCAGACCAUGGUUUAGCAUGAAGCAUGGAAUAAAACUUGAUGAACACAACAAUGUUAUUGAUAUAGAGGUAAGACUAAAUUGAAUGCGCACUGAAGAUGUAAGUAUACGAUGCCGGUUACAGCAUAUUUAGAUAUAGGUCCAACAGUUUCAAGUGGUACCAGAGAGGGUAGGAGAUAAGUAGCUACAGCAAGUAAAUUGGUAACAGUAAGCAUGCAUACCAAUCCCAAAAGUAAAAGUUCAGAUCUUCCCAUCUCAGUAAAUGCAUAUCUCAUAUUUCAAACUGACAACUUCGACCUCAGGUCCAACAAUACUUCGUUCGUGAGUACCACCACUACAUGAUUCAUUCGUGAGUACUACUACAAAAAGUGUUUAUAUAUUGGAAGUUGAACGUUCUGUUUACCCCAAAAGUAAGCUGCCUUAUUAUAUUCCUUUGGCCACAGGUAACAUGCAGUUUGCAGAGCAUGUAUAUCGCUUUUACAAAUGUAAUAGAACUAGGAAAUCCUGGAAAUGAGUAAUAAAUAUUGUCCAAGCGUUCACACAGCUGGUUUGUGUCUCUUCCUUCUUUUUUAUAAAGAAAGCAUCAUUUCGUAUUUCCUUAAAUAAUAGUUGAAGACAUUUUUACUUCACAGCAGGUGCUUUCAUUAGAUCAUAUUUUCCAUUAGAAAAAAAAUGGUCCAUUUACAGCUUUUCUUUUCUAAAACACACUUCUUCAGAAGAGUUAAUCAUUUAUUUACAUACAAACACUAUUUGUUAUGGAACUGUUUAUAGUAUCAGAUACUAUAGCCAAAUGACUUAAACAUCCUAGUAAUAAUUGGAUAUACAGAACAUAUGAAGACAGCAGCACCUGAUAUGUAACUAAAUAUAAACACAGCCCUGCUCAUAAUUUUAUACAAUUAAAUUUCUGCAAAUGGAAUCAAUAGCAGUAACUCCUGGUGGUGCAAGUGUUUCUCUUCACUUAUUACUAUAACAGAUACCUUGAUUCAGAUUUCAUUUUGCCUUUAAAGAAACUUGUUAAAUGAAAAUGUUGUGCUCCUGUCUUUCAUUAAGAAAAAAAAUCAGGUGUUCGGUACUUCAGUUUACAAGAUAUUUAUCAAAUGAAACAUUGACAGAAAAAACACCUAGCAGCAAAACUCACAGGUUUGUAUUAAAAUAUUUGCACCGCAUGUUUCGACUCUAAGAGAGUGAAUAUAUGUUCCUAAAAGGCAUGGUGCAAUGCUGCAGCAGUACAGAAUAUUUGCCCCGCAUGUUUCGACUCCAAAGACAGCAGUGGACAAGGUAUUUUUUACCAAGCCAGAAAAUGCCAUGGUUUUACUAUUUCUACUGGACUAUAAGAAUAAAGAACAUGUCUGUAAGGUACAAAAGGAGAAGAAACGUCAGCAGGGAAAAACACACGAGUGUGACAGAGAUGACGACUAAUCUAGCUGAUCAAGCAAACCGACAUAACCAAAUUACUGUAACAGCUGAUUUCCUACGAAACACUCUCAAUCUUCUGCCUGUUAAAGGAAAAUCCAAAUAAAAUAGAAAAAGGUGAAACAACAAAAAAACCAAAAGAUUCUACACUGACCUCAAAUUGCUCCAAGAUGGUAUAAGCCCCCUUAUCAAGCUUCUUGCGAACCGUCUGAAAAUCCAUUGGGUCCUUGACAAUAUCAUGGUAAUCGGGCAGCUGACAAUAAAUGCACAAUUAAAGGCAAAUCAGUCAGCUUCUGAAAAACGAACCAAGAAAAACAAGCUUUCAUCUUCAGACACAAACCUCUUCUGGAUCAACUGGCUCUGAGAAUACACCAUAUGUGUCUUUCCUGCAAGAAAGCAAGAAACAGACCUCAGAUAAGAUGUCCCGGAACUGUGAAUGAACUGGAAGGAAGAACAAGCAGAGAGCAUAGCAACUCACUUCUGUAGCCUAUCAAGGAUGAAGACCAAUAACUUUUUGUCCGGCAGAGGUGUCGUGGGACCGGAAUCUGACGGCUCUGUCGAAUGAACAAAUCCAUCCACCCACGAGCACAGAAACAAUCAGAGGCACGGGCAUUAAUUAAACAAGAACAAACUGGAAUGUAUCCACCACUACAAGAAUAAUUAAAAAUGACAUCCUUGUGCACAUUCGUCCAGGUAUUUUUUGCUUCUGAAAUCUGAAGAAUAAAUGCAUCAGAGAGCUAGGGAAAACCAACCUUCACGCCCAUCCGUCGCUAUCCUCGUCUUUUCUCCCUGCGGCAACAGCAGCAACAGAGGAUAAAGAGAAAUUUAAAAACAACAGGACAAAAAUAUCUUCACAGAAAAUCGAGAUGAGCGGAGAAAAGGCGCCAGAAAAAGUGGGGGCUUUCGUUUACCAGCACCAGUUACCAAGUACAGAUCCUAACGACGCCGGCGUCGCGAGAUGUAUAGCAAAAUUUGGCGCGAAAGGCAGAGGAAACCAGCCCAAAAAAAGGUACGCCUUUAAAAGCUUGGAAGCGAUCCACUUACAAAAAAAAUGCGCCAAUUAUUGCGACGCGAGAGAUGCGAUGGGUUUUUGGUUUAUCCGCCAAAUGAUUGGGAGAGGGCUCUCAGGUUGAACUGCGCAGCGUUGACUGCUGCACGACGGCAGAGAGAGAGGGAGAGGGGGGAUAAAUAAAUAGAGGCGCGCGGGCGGGCUUUUCAUGCCUAAAAUAGCAAAGAGAAUUCCUCGGGCGGCGCGCGGCGGCGCAGAUCCGUACGUUCCCGGGGGCAGAGCACUCCGAAUUUGGCGAAUUCCGCGCGAAACCGGCCGGAUUCGAGCGGGGAGUGCGCAGAUCGGGAUUGGGGAUGCGAGGGAAGCCCACCUUGGCUGAUCCGCCGUGGAGGCCGACGACGAGGCGGACCUUCUUCUCGCGGCGGUCGUCGUCGCCGGAGUCUUCGUCGGCGGCGGGGUUCCGGCGCGUGGAGGGGCGGCGCUGCUGGGGCGGGGGCGGGGCCGGUGGCUCCUCCUGCAGCUUCUGGAGGCGGAGGCUGCGCUUCUGGAGGUCGAGGAGCGAGGGGCGGCCCUUCUUCUUCCGCUUCCGGCGGCCCGGGGGAGGCGCCGACAUCACCGCGGCCGGCGGCGGCUGCUGCUGCUUGCCCAUUGCCCGCCCGGCGAGUACACUGCCCUUUUUUUUAUUUCGACGGGGCUUUACUUUUUUUUCUCCCUCCGUUGUGUCGCAGGGGGGUAUCGCGUGUGUUGGGGUGCGGGACGGGGCGGGGGUGGGUAGACUUUUUGGUGCGGCGGGGGCCGCUUCUGUGUUGGCUUUUCUUUUUUCUCGCUUUGCAGAGCACGUGAGCUGCGUGUGUUUCUGGGCCUUCUGAGUUCUGGCAGGGCGGAGCUGGGAGUCGUAUACUCGUAUACCGUCUACUCGCUGCUGUCAACUGUAUACUGAUGCAUGUAUGACGUACCCGGGCUGCCAGUCGGUGGCACCGUGGCACUCACCAGGAACGCGACGAUAUGGCACGUCCGUAUGGUUCCACACGGGACAAAUAUUCACUGCCCUGUAAAUUCACUUUCAAUUGUUGUGAAUAUUUUUGAAAAAUAGUUCCAAGGAUGUUCAUAUUGAUGUAAUAUUCAAGUUGCAAAUUUUGGCGAAUCAACAAGAUUCCAUCAACUGAUGGUUCAUGACGACAUUUGUGUAACUACUUGACAUCAUUAUCGCAAACUCAACAAGAGACCAAAUGUGAUGUAUUGAAAGGCAAACAACCAUUGCACCUCGUCUUCCAACAAAAUCGAUAGGUCCCAAUUAACAAGGAGUAACAAAUCCUUGGGCGGAGCGUGAGUCUGGUUGGGCGGCUCUUUUUUUCGGGGAAGUUGAGUUUUAUUGCUCAUGACCAAGAUUACACAACCAGUAGCCACGCAUAUUAGAUGGUAUAGUGGAUUGUUCCUUUCUAACGGAAUAUGGUUUUGCAGGUACCGACAUGAUCCUUAGGGAUGAGUUAGCUAGGAGCAGGAGCUGCCAUGUUACAACAUCGAGGAGUUUAUCUCAAUGUUUCGGAGACAAAUGUGUUUACAAACUAAAAAUGUGAGAUCUCUUAAAUAAGUCGUAUAUCUGAAAAAAGAGGAGUAUCAUUAUGCAAACAGAUUGUUGGAACGUUGCUAAAUGUAGUGGCAUGCAUGUAAUACAAAGUCCAUCGAGACAAGGCCACUUCAAAGAAAUCCACAGGCUGACGGGACUUGACGAAGAUUGGUCAAGGACAAAACAGAGUCGCAUUGCAUAUUAACAGAGUCGAUUUCAGGUAGAUCUGUUCGCCGCAGAUUGGUUGAACCACGUCCUGGUUACCAGAGUCACAAGGAUCCCGCUUUUCCUCGAAAGAAAAAAAAAUCACUGACUGCAAUACUUUUUUCUAAGCUUGCUUGACCCCUAAUCUACUGCUCUUUGUCUGCUUUUCCACCUGGGAUUAGCGCUGAUGUUGCUGGGAUAGUAGUAUUGAUGUGGAGGAAGUCCUUUCAGUUUCUGUUUCGGACAUUCAGUAAUCAAUUUCAGCAAAGUUCUCAACUUGCCGGUGUUUGGUUUCAGUAGUUCUCUGAUGCAGAGCAGUGAAGUUUCAGCAAAGUUUAGUACCCCCAGGUGUUUGAUUAUUAUUUUUUUAUAAGAAAGGUGUUUGAUUUGAUCGUACUAUUUGUAAUUGGUAGUUAAAGAUUUCAGGUGUUUAGAUUUACAUGCAUUAAAGAUUUAGCAAAGUGGAGUUCGAUUUCCUUCCACGGUUGUCUGUACUCUGUACACGACCUAAUUCUUAUGAUUAUUGUUUGCAUAUAUAUCCCUUCAAUUCACUCUACGAGAUACACUAGCCAGCAAUCGCACAUCCCAUCACACGGUGAUUCAAAGAAGAAUGACCUCUGGGAUGAUUCGCUACUCAUCGAGUUCAUAUCUCCUCGCUUUGCUUAUGUUCUUUUCUUCAAAAAAAAGAAGAUUUUAUCGACUUAUCGUAGUACUAACCCUACAACGUAACUUUCGCCCUCUGCAUCCAAAACGGCACAGCCACACUUACUGUUCUGAAGAUUGGCAUGAUACAAAGAGAAAUCCUAACACCAAUUUGGGAAUCUGUAGUUCCAAGUGGACAAUUAGUAUACUAAUAGAGGAAAGGUGCCAAACACACAAUUGGCGGAUAGAAGUUGAAACUACCGAUGGCCGUGCACUAAUAUAUCCCAAUAUACAAGUACAUCAGAUCAUCGGGGCGAGUAAAUUUCACAAAACCACACUUCGAGAAUAGGGUUUCAAUGAGCCACAAUUAUGACUAAUAGUCUCACAAAACCACACUUUUUCGGACAGAUCUUCACACAGAACCCAAAUCAGGUAAUUAAGAGCGUUUGAUGGUGUUUCUGACAAGUAGGACCCACAUGUCGGAUGCCAGGAUCGAAUCGGGAUUGUCCGGGUAGAUAGAGGAGCUUAACGGGUGUCGGGCAAAUGCUGACGUGGAUAAAAAAAGGGUUUGACCCGUCCGACCUGGCAUCCGACAUGUGGGUCCCACUUGUCAGAAACACCAUCAAACGCUCUUAAUUACAUGAUUUGGGUUCUGUGAGAAGAUCUGUCCGAAAAAGUGUGGUUUUGUGAGACUAUUAGUCAUAACUGUGGUCCGUUGAAAACCUAGUCUCAAGAAGUGUGGUUUUGUGAAAUUUACUCUAAGGGAGCUAUAAGACUUCUUCAUCAUGUAUUCGGCAAGGCUUAAGGGGCCGAGACGUCGUUUCUCAACAUUGUCGGAGAAGUCUGUGGUGGCAAUCUCCACUCUGCCGUCCUCAAGGUGAUGUAUGCGAAUCCCGCGCUUCUUCGACCCGCCGCCAACGUAGUAGAGGCAGUUGCCUUCAAUGGCGGGGAGAUUGUCGGCGUCGACAGACAGAGAGCGAUGCUUGCCAAGGAAGAUCGCACGGUUUCCGAUGCGCUUGACCGGCUGAUCCAGAUAAGUUUUACGGUCAGGACCAACCCUGAAGACCUGCACGGCGCCCAGCUGGUGAUCGGACAAAGACGGAGCGUUGUCGACGAGGAACGUGGGCAGCUGGUCCUUCUGAUCCGAGGUUCCGGCGACGACGACGGUGGUAAGCUUGGUCUGCAGCAUGUUACCGGAUGAGCACACGUCCACGGCCGCUACAGUUCCCUUCAUGUCGGCGGCGUAUGCCCGGCCUUGGAAGGCCACCGGGAAGGCCACCGUGCCCGCGAGCGAGAGUGACUCGAGGGUCGGCUUGGCGCGGCGGCCGGUGAAGGGGUUGAGGAGGAAUAUACGGAGGCGGCCCUUCGCCUCCAGGAGUAGGAGGCCGUCUGCUGUGGAGCAUGGGCAGGUGCAUCCAGAGGAACCGGCCCGUGUCGACGUGCAAGAAGAGGAGCCGGCCGUAGCGUUCCCGGCCAGCGGAUGAUCGGGCGUGAGUCGUCGGCUGUAGUUUGUGUCAUUGACGAUGCACGGGUCGUCGCCCGCGAGCUUGUCGAGCAUGACCCAUCGGUGCGGGCGGAACCGCGGGUCGUCGUCCUCGUCCGGGCCGCGCGGGUCGGCGGUGGCGGCGCGCCAGCCGCGGCACACGGCGCGGAGGCCGAUGUAGUAGUCGAUGUCGCUGGUGGCGAGGAAGACGUCCGCGACGCGGCUGACGAGGUCGGGCAACAGCUACGACCAGUCCGCCGCGGGCUCCAUUGUCGCCGUGUGCGUGCGCCUGUGGCUGCAAGAGUUUAUGGAUGGGCCUUGGCACUCGGACGGAGGAAGAAGCCAGAGCCGCCGUCACCUUCCGAGCGAUGGCAAACCCUGAAAACGGCCCCGCUGGCGUGGAGAUGAAGUAUGAAGGGGAGAACCGUCUUAUCCAGCUGAUUCCCCGCCGCGUGCGCCGUGGAAUCCGCCUGGAUCGCUGGGGGCGUUUCCAACUGAUCCCCCGCGGCCUUCCGUCGAAUCCGCCUGGAUCGGCCGCCACUUGGCAGGCCGCGAAGGAUCUCAGCCCAGGAAAAGCCCACGGCUCCAAGGCGCAAAUGAAAGAGGAGAAGAGAAAAUCGUGAGAAAACUCACUGGAGGAGAAAAAUGGCUAUAGUAAAAUUAGUGAAAUACCCAAUCCGGAAAAAACGUCUAGUGCUUCGCCUACUUCCUCAAACAAAAGAGACGCGCGAAGGGCAGAGCCUCAGCCACCCAGCAGUAAUAGCAGCCGUGGUGCCCGUUGAGAUUCCCCGCGCCGUUCCGUCGAAUCGAUCAGCCGCGCGCCCGGCGCCCCUGCACAUAUAUUAUACCCAAUGCCCACACCUCACAACCACUUGCUAACGCGCGCGGCGGUGACCAUGGCUGCGGUGGACUGGUCAUCGCUCCCCGCCGACGUGUUCCUAGCCACCACCGGUCUCGACUACUACAUGAGCCUCCGCGCCGCGUGCCGCCCCUGGCGCGCCGCCACCGCGGACCCGCGCGGUCCGGACCGGCGCUUCCAUCCCCGCCGGUGGAUCAUGCUCGAACUGAAUAUCCAUGUUUCAAGAGAUAUUGUUAACUCCAAAGCUUUCAAACUGAAUAUCCAUGUUUCAUCGAAAUAGGGUACAAAACUUUCGAGUUUGUGGAUGUUCAACCCAAAAUCCAUAACAUACAACGGUUCAGCCUAUUUCUUGAGUUGACAGUUCGCAAUUCCUAGUGGCAAUGAAUACAUGCUAGCUACUCCCCUUUAACUAAUGAAUACUUGGCUCGAAACCUCUCGACCAUUGAGCUUAAUGAGUCCAGCCGAGUUUGAUUUUGAACUGGUCAACGAAACAUUUGAGUCAAGCCGAGCAUAAUUCUGAGUUCGUUAAUAAAACAACUUUAACCACUCAAGCAACGAGCUACUCGUUUAACACCAUCCCCUCUUCUCCCCUUGGUCCAUGGUCCAUCCCUCUUUUUGACCUAACUCAAUAUCCACCCACAUUCCUUGACACACAAGCAAAACCACUCUUGACUCGCGUCCUCCUCUCAUAUGGCAUAUAUGUUAAUUUAUUAACGAUCGAGUUAAACAAACCAAUUUUGUAGUUAAAUUGAGUCGAGCCCAUGUCGCUUUUGAACAUGAUAUACUAUUAACGAGUCGAGCUAACUGUUGUAACUAGUGUGUUAUCUUAAUUGGUUCUACCAAUUCGAGCCAAGCUAACUACUCCCUCCGUUACAUAAAGAUUGGCACGGAUAUCCGGCUCUACUCACACGGACAUGUGGUCAUAAUGCAAAAGAUGCAAAUGAACAAUUCUGAACAGGAGAUUUGAAUUCAGAACCUUUGGUUAUGUGGCAUGUGCCUUUAACCGUGUGGAGCUAACAAUUUAACUUAAUCCGUAUUAUAAUCUCACGCACACUGUGCUUGAUUCUUCUUGCUUUGCUUCCCUUGGUGCGGGUGCACAUCUCAGAGCAUACGGACGGUAUAGAAAGAAGGUGCAGUGCGUCCCAGACUAACCAAACUUUUUUUUUGGCUAUACAAAAUGCACGGUUGUUUGUUGCACGCAACGACGAUUGUUCCUUUUGCCAAAGUAAAUAAAUAAGCAUCUCUCGUCGAAGAUCAUUAUUUUUCUAAUUCUCUACCUCGUGAAAGCUGGAAGUGGCCACGUCACCGGCAAAACUAACCAACGGUAAUAUCUCCCGGAAAAAUCCACCGAGCCAGCCCUUCGCUAGCGCCAAAGAAGUUCACCGCGCGCACGGCCAAAAUCCACGCAAGACCAGCGAAAUCUCGUGGUCUCCACUCUCUGCUCGCCCGGCGCGGCGAGAAGAUAAUCUCAUGGCCACCGCACGGCCACAUCAGCGAGCCACCGCAGCAUCCCCGUGAGGACAUUGACCCCACCCCAUCGCCCUCGGCUCAGACUCAAACCCAUCAAAAAUCCGGGCGCGCCCACGGUGCCAGCCACUCCGUGGCCAGAGCGCGGCCACCUCGGCAACCCCCAUCCGCCUUCCCGGCACCUCACAGCGCGCGCGCCAAUGGCGACUCGGCUUAAGAUUCCCCGUGGAUAAGGACUCGAUCGCGCGCGUUCGGGCCUCCUAUUUAAACGCCUCUCGCUCCCGCUUUACUCCACAGCAACAACCGCUCCAACACUUCAGUUCUCACUCCACAGCUCAGAGUCAGAGCUACUAGCAAUGGCAGCGGCGACCAUGGCGCUCUCCUCCCCCGCGAUGGCCGGCACCCCGGUGAAGGUCUCCAGGGCCACCCCCUUCGGCGAGGGCCGCAUCACCAUGCGCAAGACGGCCGCCAAGCCCAAGGUGUCCGCGUCCGGCAGCCCGUGGUACGGCUCCGACCGCGUGCUCUACCUCGGCCCACUCUCCGGCGAGCCCCCGAGCUACCUCACCGGCGAGUUCCCGGGCGACUACGGCUGGGACACCGCCGGGCUCUCCGCCGACCCCGAGACCUUCGCCAAGAACCGCGAGCUCGAGGUCAUCCACUGCCGCUGGGCUAUGCUUGGUGCCCUCGGCUGCGUCUUCCCCGAGCUGCUCGCCCGCAACGGCGUCAAGUUCGGCGAGGCCGUCUGGUUCAAGGCCGGCUCCCAGAUCUUCAGCGAGGGAGGCCUUGACUACCUCGGCAACCCCAGCCUUGUCCACGCCCAGAGCAUCCUUGCCAUCUGGGCCUGCCAGGUUGUACUCAUGGGCGCCGUCGAGGGGUACCGUGUUGCCGGUGGC
rnacentral:lncRNA from 1 species